rnacentral:rRNA from 1 species
AUUGAACGCUGGCGGCAGGCCUAACACAUGCAAGUCGAACGCGUGGCGGACGGGUGAGUAAUGUGUGGGAAACUGCCUGAGGGAGGGGGAUAAAUAGGGGAAACGGUAGCUAAUCCCGCAUAACCAGAGGUGUGCCGAGGUGGGAUUAGCUAGUAGGUGGGGUAAAGGCUCACCUAGGCGGCGAUCCCUAGCUGGUCUGAGAGGAUGACCAGCCACACUGGAACUGAGACACGGUCCAGACUCCUACGGGAGGCAGCAGUGGGGAAUAUUGCACAAUGGGCGCAAGCCUGAUGCAGCCAUGCCGCGUGUAUGAAGAAGGCCUUCGGGUUGUAAAGUACUUUCAGCGGGGAGGCGUUACCCGCAGAAGAAGCACCGGCUAACUCCGUGCCAGCCGCCGCGGUAAUUC